UUGCUGCUAAGCUCAGAUACAGCACAAAAGAUGCUGUAUUCCUUCACCAGGAAAAUGUCAAGUACAUAUCAUCUGCUGCUAGAAGACCAGCAAAAAAGCCAGUAUAAGGGUCAGGAGAGCAAGUCUUGUCCUGAAAGGUGCUUUAAUGCCUUCUCUGGGCUUUGCUGGCAGCUGAAGAGCAUUCAGGGAGCACAGAUGCCUCAGCCAUAUCACCCCCUGGUAGAUACCACAAGGUCUUUCUCACAAGAGGUUGGCAGUUGAUGGAGAAAGAAGUAUGGCCACUUCUUCACCAGCCUGGAAGGGAUUGCUGGCUCGGUGUACAUUGACGAACUGGGAGAAAGGAGCAUGUUUUAGAAAAACCUACCUAAUAGGAGGCUGGAAAAUUUCCACGAUCAGUAUUCUUCACUCAAAUAAAGCAAACGACCCCUUUCAACUAGUGCGAAAAUGACUACAUAAUUAGCAGUGUACGUAGAUUCUGCAGAGACAUGUGGUAGGAGGACCCAAGCAUGAUCAAACUAUGGCAUCUCAUGAAAAGGCCUGGAAUAUGGAACAGACAAGUCAUUCCCUCCCAUGCCAUGAAAUCCAGCCACUAGGAGGAAGCUACUGGAGUCUGAACCUAUGCACAAUAUGCUGUGUUGCUUGGCACCAGAUGAUAAAUAAAUGUGACCUUGUUGUAUAUGCCCCGAUGGGCACAUUAGGAUCUUGGACAAUACGGUGAGCAAACUGGAAAAAUAUGUUGAACGUUUGGAAGGACCGGUGCAGUUGGUGGCAGAGAAAAGGAAGAUAGGUGAGUUCUUGCCAUCAACAUUGCCUGGGUUUUUUUGACUGACACCCUGUCCCUUUUCCUCCUCCUUUCCAGCUUCACUGCAGAGAACAUUUCAUUGCUUGGUGGAGUUGCAACUUGUGUUCUCUCGGCAACCUCCUUCAGUUGGUCAGUCUCCUGAGUGACCUGUGCAGCCUCUUCUAUAACAUCCUUAAAACACAUGGUGUUUGUCACUUUCUGGCUAUUGAGCAAAUAGUCAUGGAAUAGCAAAGCUUUUGUUGUGCCUCUUCUGCUGGCCUUGGAGAGGGACCUCUGCUAGAAUAACUCAGUAGGCAUGUUAGCAGCAAAUGCAUUUCCAUAACCUAUUAAUGGGUGUGAGGACCGGUUUCCCCAUCUGCCAAAGAAAGUUGUGAAGUGGUUGAAGAUCUCUCCUAGGGGAAAAAAAAAAAAACAAACCACAAAAAAAAUCACACACACACACACACACACACAAAAUUCUGUUUAGUCCAGUGAAGGACCAUUGAUAUGGUAACUUCAAAACAUUUGGGGUUCCCCACACACACUUUUCUUUUCUUUACAAUUUGGAAAAUAGUCACUGCAGAAUUGAAGGCUCAGAUUUAUUUGCACCCCACACCCCGCAUCUAGGAUAUGCAAUGAGAAUAGUUGUGCUCUUUUUGUUGCUGAAGGUAGAAACCACUGGUGAUGCUAUAUGGUGGCUAGCAGCCUGCCUGUCCACAGUGGGGUCAGCCCGCUGAAGAAACAGCUGUUAUGUCUGUGAAAUUCCUGACUGCUGUGAUUACUUUUGAGAUGGGCCAUAUACCCAGAGAGAAGCUGAAACUGCAUUAUUGGCCUUCACACAGCUAAACUGCCUGAGUCUGGCUGGUUGUGAGCUGGGCUGGAGGUCUGGGUACACCAUAGGGUAAGGAUUGCCACCCACUGAGGCAUGGUGCCACACCUAUCUCAGGUGUGGUGUAAACUUCCUUCCAGGCAAUUAACCUUUGAGUUUUAUCUUGUGUUUGCUAGGGGUGCUUGUGAUCUGUUACUGUGGGUCACCGGGUACAUAGUAAGUUGUGUAUCAGAACCCUUAAAUUUGUUGUCUUGAUUUUCUGUAUUUAUGGAGAUUCUCUUUCCAAUACAGAUAAAAGAAAUGCAAAAUUUACAAAUUUUAUCAAUUCACAAUUAAUCCUCAGAAGUACCAGAUCAGGCUACAUAAUUUUCCUUGAUGGCUAUUUCUGCCGUUCAGGUAACAUUCCCCUCUAGUGGAAUAAGUACCAAUCUGACGUGCCCCCUGCUGUGACCCGCUCACGUCAUUAUUUCUGCCUCAGUUUUUCUGUUUGUAAAGGGAAGAUUAAAUCUUCCAGAUUAAUCUGUUACUGGUUUUAGACUACUUUGAGGUAUUCACUAAAAGGCACCAGCGCAGAAGUACUGGGCAUGAAGACAAUGAGAAGUGCUCAGAAUGCCCUUUUCAGGGCUUUUUAAUCACCGUGUAAAUCUAUAGUGCUGUGCAAACAUUUCAUGGUGGUAAGGCCUCUGCUUUACCAUUAGACCUCUGCUUUAGCAUUAGACCUCAGCUUUAGUGCUCACCAACAUGCCUUACUUCCUGCAUCAUUUGGACUCGGCUGAAUGUGCUUCUGGAAAAGCAGAGUACAAUUUAAGCCUGCAAGAUCUUCUCAGACCGUAUUUCAGGGCCAUGUUACUGACAAGUCUGUGCUACCUAUUGUGGCUUAAUUGUCUUUUUAAAAUAAGGUCAAUAUGAUAUGCAACCUGAAUGUCUGUGUCCUAGGCAUGUUGACAUAUGUUGCUGUGUUU